AAAGAUAUUAGUAACAACCAUUACAUAACUUUGCCAUAGUUAAAUUAUAGGUUCGACCCCUGUAUAUCUUA
rnacentral:tRNA from 1 species